CACCCCUUUCGGGGCAGCGAGGGCGCUGGCGGCCAUCUUGGGUGCAGGCGCCGGGCCUGGGGCAGGAUGAGCGCGGAGGCAGCAGACCGGGAGGCGGCCACGUCAUGCCGGCCGUGCACCCCGCCGCAGACCUCCUGGUUUGAGUUCCUGCUGGAGGAGGCGCUGCUGGAAACGCAUCUGCGCAAGGCCGCGCCCGAUCCAUCCCCUGUUCAACUGAUUAUCCAGUUCUUGGAACAGGCUUCCAAACCUUCACUGAAUGAACAGAACCAGGUUCAGCCGCCCCCUGAUAACAAGAGAAACCGUAUUUUAAAACUUCUUGCUCUUAAAGUUGCUGCACAUUUAAAAUGGGACUUGGAUAUACUAGAGAAAAGCUUGUCAGUUCCUGUCCUGAAUAUGCUGCUGAAUGAACUUCUGUGCAUUAGCAAAGUUCCUCCAGGAACUAAACAUGUAGACAUGGACCUGUCCAGCUUACCCCCAACCACUGCAAUGGCUAUACUGCUGUACAACAGAUGGGCUAUAAGGACCAUUGUCCAAAGCAGUUUUCCUGUGAAACUAGUGAAACCUGGUCCACCUCAGUUAAACAUAAUGACCCAGAUACAACAGGAAAAGGAACUAACAGAAAAUAUUUUGAAAGUGUUGAAAGAGCAGGCUGCUGAUUCCAUCCUAGUGCUAGAAGCAGCACUUAAAUUAAACAAAGAUCUGUAUGUCCACACUAUAAGAACUCUGGAUUUAUUAGCCAUGGAGCCUGGUAUGGUGAAUGGGGAAACCGAGAGUUCCACAGCUGGUUUGAAAAUCAGUGCUGAAGAAAUACAGUGCCAGGUCUGUUAUGAUUUGGGUGCAGUCUACUUCCAGCAGGGUUCUACAAAUUCAACCAUCUAUGAAAAUGCCAAGGAAAAAUUUUUUAGAACCAAAGAAUUGAUUUCAAAGAUUGCUUCAUCAUCACUUCAUUGCACCAUAGAUGAGAAGAGGUUAGCUGGGUACUGUCAAGCUUGUGGAGUUCUUACAUCAUCUUCUGAUAGUGCAUCGCAGCAGUCAACUCCUUACAGUCAAAUCCAUAGCUGUAUGAAAUCUGGCAGCUAUCAGGAGCUAGUGAAGAUCUUCCUUGAAGAUAACUUAACCCUCAGUUUACCUAUUCAGUUCAGACACUCAGUGCUGAGAGAACUCUUCCAAAAAGCUCAACAAGGGAAUGAUGCUCUGGAUGAAAUUUGUUUCAAAGUCUGUGCAUGUAACACUGUUUGUGAUGUAAUGCAGGGUCGAAUGAUUGACAUUCAGUUUAACCAGCUGUUCCUUAAACCCAACAAAGAAAAAAUAGAUUUUCUUCUUGAGGUGUGUUCAAGGUCAAUACAUUUAGAACAUGCUUCAGAAUCUUCACAAAGAAAAAUGGCCGCUUUUCUCAAGAAUUUGUGUUUGGGUUUGGAGGAUCUUCAGCUUGUCUUUAUGAUUUCUUCUCAUGAGCUCUUCAUAACGCUCCUGAAAGAUGAUGAACGGAAGCUGCUCAUUGACCAGAUGAGGAAAAGGUCCCCUCGAAUCAAUCUGUGCACCAAACCUGUGACUUCAUUUUAUGAUAUCCCAGCAUCAGCAAGUGUCAGUAUUGGCCAGCUGGAACAUCAGCUUAUAUUAUCAAUGGAUCCUUGGAGGAUUCGUCAGAUUUUAAUUGAGUUACAUGGCAUGACUUCGGAACGCCAGUUCUGGACAGUUUCUUGCAAGUGGGAAGUACCAAAUGUUUAUGGCAACGUUAUUUUAGGAAUUAAGGACAAUUUGACCAGAGAUUUGGUCUACAUCCUGAUGGCAAAAGGGUUACACUGCAGUGCAAUUAAGGAUUUUGUCCAUGCAAAGCAGCUUUUUGCUGCUUGCCUGGAACUCGUGACAGAGUUUUCUCCAAAGCUGCGUCAGGUCAUGCUGAAUGAAAUGCUGCUCUUGGACAUUUACACUCAUGAAGCAGGAGCAGGAGUUUCUGGAGAACGUCCUCCCUCUGAUCUGAUAAGCAGAGUCCGAGGAUAUUUGGAAAUGAGAGUACCUGAUAUUCCCCUUCGCCAGGUCAUAGCAGAAGAAUGUGUUGCCUUCUUGUUAAACUGGAGAGAGAAUGAAUACUUAACAAUGCAAGUUCCUUUACCUCUGGUGCAGACUAAUCCUUAUGUGAAGUUAGGACAGCUCUUGGCUGCUACAUGCAAAGAACUUCCAGGGCCCAAGGAAAGUAGACGGACAGCUAAAGACCUUUGGGAAGUGGUUGUGCAGAUCUGCAGUGUAUCUAACCAGCACAAGCGAGGCAAUGAUGGUAGAGUAAGCUUAAUCAAGCACAGAGAAUCUACAUUGGGCAUUAUGUACAGGAGUGAAUUACUCUCUUUUAUCAAAAAGCUACGGGAACCAUUGGUUUUGACUACGAUAUUGUCCCUGUUUGUCAAGCUUCAUAAUGUCCGGGAAGACAUUGUGAACGAUAUUGCAGCAGAGCAUAUUUCUAUUUGGCCAUCAUCUAUUCCCAACCUCCAAUCGGUGGAUUUUGAAGCAGUAGCUGUUACAGUAAAAGAGCUGGUCAAUUAUGCACUGACUAUAAAUGCAAACAACCACUUCUGGCUAAUUAUCCAGGCAGAUAUUUAUUUUGCAACAAAUCAGUAUUCAGCUGCUCUACAUUAUUACCUUCAGGCAGGAGCAGUGUGCUCCGAUUUCUUCAAUAAGAUGGUACCACCUGAUGUAUUCACAGACCAGGUGAUAAAAAGAAUGAUAAAAUGCUGCUCUUUGCUCAACUGCCAUACCCAGGUAGCAAUUUUGUGCCAGUUCCUCAGAGAAAUAGACUAUAAAACAGCAUUUAAAGCAUUACAGGAACAAAAUAGGGGUCCAAAGGAUGGGGGUGAAGGAAGAUCUUUUUAAGAAACAUGCAGUGUAGUGUGACUGACUUGUCUGGGAAAGGUUUGUUUCCUGAAAAAUACUUGUACCUAAAUCUGCUACAAGUUGUUCUUGCAUUUUGAUUGGGUAUUUUGGAAAUUGGCUCUAGGAACUGCCCUAGCUGUGAUGUAUGUAUGCACAAGUACUUCCUUUUCUUGACUCUCCUUCAGAUCUCCACCAUAAGAGAGGAGAGACAGACAAGAGACAAAUAGCAAUUAAAGCUAUUGGCCAGACAGAACUGAAUGCUAGCAAUCCAGAGGAAGUAUUACAGCUUGCAGCACAGAGACGAAAAAAGAAGUUUCUUCAAGCAAUGGCAAAA